rnacentral:rRNA from 1 species
UAAACGGACCAUCGAGUAUCCAUUGGAGGGCAAGUCUGGUGCCAGCAGCUGCGGUAAUACCAGCUCCAAUAGCGUAUAUUAAAGUUGUUGCAGUUAAAAAGCUCGUAGUUGGACUUGUGUGCGCUGUCCGCGGGUGGCCUGCGCCCAAAAGGGCGUUUCGGUUCGGCCCCGGUGGCGCCUUGAAAUCUGCAGCUGGGGGGACGUUGGCCUUAACUGGUCGGCGACCGCACGCCGGCUGCUCGGUUACUGUGAGAAAAUUAGAGUGUUCAAGGCAGGCAUUGGGUGCAAUUGAAUACAUUAGCAUGGAAUAAUAAAAUAUGGCUCCUGCCGUAUUUUGUUGGUUUUGACUGGUGGGAGUAAUGAUUGAUAGGGACGGUUGGGGGUGCUAGUAUUGAGCGGCCAGAGGUGAAAUUGAUGGAUACGCUCAAGACUAACUUAUGCGAAAGCAUUCACCAAGGACGUCCUCUUUAAUCAAGAACGAAAGUUGGGGGAUCGAAGACGAUCAGAUACCGUCGUAGUCUCAACCAUAAACUAUGUCGACUUGGGAUCGGCGGUAGUUUUUUCAUUAAGACACUGUCGGGACCACGGGAGAAAUCAAAGUGUCUGGACUCGGGGAAGUAUGGUCGCAAGGCUGAAACUUGAAGGAAUUGACGGAAGGGCACCACCAGGAGUGGAGCCUGCGGCUUAAUUUGACUCAACACGGGGAAACUUACCAGGUCCAGAGAUGUAGAGGAUUGACAGAUUGAAGCUCUUUCUUGAUCACUUCGGUGGUGGUGCAUGGCCGUUCUUAGUUGGUGGAGUGAUUUGUCUGGUUAAUUCCGUUAACGAACGAGACCUCAGCCUGCUAGUGUAGUCGGCUGGAUUGCCUUUGGCGAUCCGUGAUUUCGACUUCUUAGAGGGACAAUCGACGCGCAGUCGAUGGAAGUUUGAGGCAAUAACAGGUCUGUGAUGCCCUUAGAUGUUCUGGGCCGCACCGCGCUACACUGCUGGGCUCAGCGAGUUUUACUUGGCCGAGAGGCCCGGUUAAUCUUGUGAAAUCCCAGCGUGCUUGGGCUCGCCUCCUGCAACUGGAGGCGCCAACGAGGAAUUCCUAGUAGACGCAGGUCAUCAACCUGCAUCGAUUACGUCCCUGCCCUUUGUACACACCGCCCGUCGUUCCAUAAGAGUGAGGCAUCCGGUGAAUUCUCGGGAGAGCCUGGGCGUGGCCAGCAAUGGUCUGCUCGGGUUUGAACUUGCAUAAACUUGGUGCCUAUGAUUAGGG